rnacentral:lncRNA from 1 species
GCAAACUUCUCUGUAAAAAAAUGGCUUAUCUUCUUUGUACACUAAUAUAUAUACAUAUACAGAGAGUUAUGAUUUACAUUUUGAUGUAGAAAGUUGAAUGAACUUAUUCAUCCAAUAAGUCAUAUACUCGAACAAUACCAAGUGACCGACUGCCGGUGCACUGGUCAGCUGGGGCUAACCCCACGCUCAACCCUUUGUGCACCCCCCACAACAAACACACAGGAUGACCACAGUAGAUAAAUUAAGACAUGCCAAAGAAAUAUUAGCAACUUAAACAGAUGACAAUUUUUUGGAUUUAUGUUUAUUUAGUUUCAACAAUGGUGUUCGAAAAGCCAACCUUCAGCCUUUGCUCACAGCUAACGUUGCCCCUGAGAAGAGUAGGAUGUGUGCCUGGCCACGAUGAAGUAUUUAUGAGCUGUCAGGUUACCUGUUCUCAGAGUCCUUCUGACUUCGCCUUUGUUGCUGUCUUUGCUUCCAUUUGGUCCAGUUUCUGCACACGUCCAGAAACCAGAUUUUGAGUUCGGAAGUCUAACCCUGCAAGCAUACAAACAUACAGGACAUCUGACAAGUGCAUGCUGUAAAGUCGGGAUAUGGACCUAGGUUAAGGAUUCAUAGAAUUUGAGGCACUCGUUAUUUUGAUGUGCCCACAAAUUAGAGAAAUUUAGAAAACAUGAACCAGAUGGGGAUAGUUACAUACUUCGCUACAGAAAACCCAAGAAUACCAGCUGCGACGGUGCUGACCACCACGCAGAUCCAGAACAAAACAAAGUACUAUCUGC